UGAACGCUGGCGGCGUGCCUAAUACAUGCAAGUCGAGCGAACAGACGCGGAGCUUGCUCCUCUGACGUUAGCGGCGGACGGGUGAGUAACACGUGGAUAACCUACCUAUAAGACUGGGAUAACUUCGGGAAACCGGAGCUAAUACCGGAUAAUAUAUUGAACCGCAUGGUUCAAUAGUGAAAGACGGUUUUGCUGUCACUUAUAGAUGGAUCCGCGCCGCAUUAGCUAGUUGGUAAGGUAACGGCUUACCAAGGCAACGAUGCGUAGCCGACCUGAGAGGGUGAUCGGCCACACUGGAACUGAGACACGGUCCAGACUCCUACGGGGGGCAGCAGUAGGGAAUCUUCCGCAAUGGGCGAAAGCCUGACGGAGCAACGCCGCGUGAGUGAUGAAGGUCUUCGGAUCGUAAAACUCUGUUAUUAGGGAAGAACAAAUGUGUAAGUAACUAUGCACGUCUUGACGGUACCUAAUCAGAAAGCCACGGCUAACUACGUG
rnacentral:rRNA from 1 species